rnacentral:rRNA from 1 species
ACGAACGCUGGCGGCGUGCUUAACACAUGCAAGUCGAACGGGCCCGCCCUCUUUUUUGGGGGUGGGUUGAGUGGCGAACGGGUGAGUAUCACGUGAGUAACCUGCCCCCUGCUCCUGGAUAACUGCUUGAAAGGGCGGCUAAUACGGGGUGUGCCGGCUGGUCCGCAUGGGCCUGGUCGGGAUAGUUUCAUCUUCGGGUGUUUCGGUGGGGGAUGGGCUCGCGGCCUAUCAGCUUGUUGGUGGGGUGAUGGCCCACCAAGGCGGUGACGGGUAGCCGGCCUGGGUGAUGGGGCGGCCCGUCUGGGAGAGAGCGACGACCCGGACGCGUGCGGGGGGCGGGUGUGGGGGGUAUUGAACGAUGGGCGGAAGCCUGAUGCAGCGACGGCGCGUGAGGGAUGGAGGCCUUCGGGUUGGGAACCUCUUUCUCCGGUAGUGAAGGCCCUGUCCGUUGCGGCGGGGUUGACGGUAGCCGGGUAUGAAGCGCCGGCUAACUACGUG